rnacentral:rRNA from 1 species
UACAGAGGUCUCGAGCGUUGUUCGGAUUCAUUGGGCGUAAAGGGCGCGUAGGCGGCGGGGUAAGUCGGGUGUGAAAUCUCAGAGCUCAACUCUGAAAUGGCACUUGAUACUGCUCUGCUAGAGGACUGGAGAGGAGAUUGGAAUUCACGGUGUAGCAGUGAAAUGCGUAGAUAUCGUGAGGAAGACCGGUGGCGAAGGCGGAUCUCUGGACAGUUCCUGACGCUGAGGCGCGAAGGCCAGGGGAGCAAACGGG